GUUGUCGUGGCCGAGUGGUUAAGGCGAUGGUCUACAAGUCUUUUGGGAUCCUCCCGCGCAGGUUCGAAUCCUGCCGACAUCG
rnacentral:tRNA from 1 species